rnacentral:rRNA from 1 species
UACGAAGGGGGCUAGCGUUACUCGGAUUGACUGGGCGUAAAGGGCGCGUAGGCGGAUGGUACAGUCAGACGUGAAAUUCCUGGGCUCAACCUGGGGGCUGCGUUUGAUACGUGCUGUCUGGAGUUCGGAAGAGGGUCGUGGAAUUCCCAGUGUAGAGGUGAAAUUCGUAGAUAUUGGGAAGAACACCGGUGGCGAAGGCGGGUCUCUGGACAGUUCCUGACGCUGAGGCACGAAGGUCAGGGGAGCAAACGGG